rnacentral:rRNA from 1 species
GGAUCUCCGAAUGGGGAAACCCCGCUGGGCCCUUUGGGUGACCCAGUGACUCCCGCCAGAAUAUAUAGGGCGGGUAGAGGGAACGUGGGGAAGUGAAACAUCUCAGUACCC